AGAAAAUUCCAGAAUCUGCAUCCCUCGUGAUUCCUUCAUGGAAAAGACAGAACAUCUGAAAAUUUGUUCUCAACGCUUCAAAGAACACGAACCGAAGAAUUUAUCCCCAAAUUUAUGAGCUGCGUUUUCCCCCUAAACUUUUUCCAUUGAGGUAUAUACGAGAGGGUCUUCAGUAUGGUAAGGUUAGAUACCGUGCUUUCUACUGUAUUUCAAGACAACGAAAAAACGACUGCUUUCACUGAAAUCGGUGCCCAGCCUUCAGCGUCCUAGAACGAUCUUUGGCCGAACGGUAAGCAAAUUGCAAUUUUUGAUAGCACCUUGAUUGGCAGACCACCGCACGAAAGAUGAACCUAUACCACUGCGGAUGUUUGGCUGCAUUGUGGCCGGCUCCAGGGGUCAUUUACCGACCCGACUAUGUUGGGCAACCGUGGGCAGUGCACUUCUCGGAGCCCAAGGUCGCCUAGACAAGUUGUCAAAACGAAGAAAAAGGGGAGAAUCUCACGUGGACGUCUCGGUCCUCUUACAAAUCUGGUUUUAAACGGCUAUUGUUUUUAGGACGAUGAUCUAUAUGCUCGACAGGGAGAAUCCACGAGAUAAAUAUGUUUACCAUCGAUUUCUGAAAUUUUGUCAUAUGGCUCGCAGAUUUGGGGGCAAAAGGCAAUAAACCAUAUAUUUUUGUUCAGUCGAAACUUACGAUCGCAGUGAAAUUCACUUUUUUAAUUUGCCGCGAAGUUGAACGAUAAUUAUACUUCAUGAUCUUGACGAAAUGUUCUACAUAUAACUAGAAAUUCACUCGGGCUAUUUAAAAUUCAAGCAGUCCCACACUAAGAUGCCACAAUUCCAGCAGCAUACCUCCCAGAAUCAUGAAAAAGACUCACGGCAUACCGUCGGCCAUCGUUAAAGUAAAUGCUAUUAUUAGAUCAAAUUUUGAAUAAAGUAUACUGUCGCCAAGUGAUCUCAAACGCACUGAAAGAACCCUCAUAAAAUGUAGAAUGAUUUCCACGCAUUCGCUUUAACUUUUAAAUAAAAACUUGCUCAAAAAUCUUCAGCAUUCAAAUGCAGGUAUUGAAGCAACAUUUACAAUAGCUUAUCUCAAUGUUUUCGAUUAAAACUGCAUAGGAAGAAAAAAAUGAACGAGUGCGCUCAGUUGGAAUAGACUCCUCAGAUACUAAAAUAUUAAUUCCGCUAAAUUGAAUAGUCUAUCUGUGUUCAUCAGUAUCGUAUAAAUCAAUCAAAGAUGCCCACUAAAUGAAGCAGACGAUCGUUUGUUGAAAGUCAAUAGGCACAUUGAAGUACUCAAUAAACCGAUGCGACACCUGGCGUUCAACGACCUAAGCUUUGUCUGGAUUCUGUUCGCAAUGUGUGGAAAUGAAAUGGGAAUCAACGCCGAUAGGGCUAUGUAAGAUAAUGAAAUAAAUUGGACUGGCAGAAGUCCACAAUCAGAGCAUAUAAUUUCUCUAUACCAGUCCAAUUUCAUUCCUUCCGUUCUAUUCUGUAACUUAAGAUAAAAUGGAGAUAUGGUAUAUGUUGAAUAGAAAUGUACAAGUGCAAUGUCUGGUGCAUUUCUAUUCAACAAAUAUUAUCUCUAAUCCGAAGUUACAGAAUAGGGCCCGAUUACCUUGCAUACCUAUAUCGGUGUUUGAACCCACAUUAUUUAUUAUGUAAUAUAUUUCAUGUUUCUAUUCAAUUAGUCUUAGCUAGUUAUUAUUCCUGAAAAAAUAAUAACUACAUAACACCCUAGCUCUUACUAAAUUCUUUUGCCAUUUAUUCAACUAGCGCCAUCUGAACUUCAAAUGACAAAAUGAAAUUCUGAAACAGGUUCCUGGCAAACUAUCGAAGUCUGUCAAUUUGAAAAGCCAUACCUAUUCUGAUUAAGUGUUAUAAUUUCAAAUGUUAAUAUAUACCGUAUGUCAAAUCACUACAACCGAUUUCCAUACAAUUCUAGACAUUUCCAUAUCGAUUUAAUGAUGUCUGCAUAACAACGGCCUUUGGGAAUAUCAAUAAUACCAAAAUGAUAAUAUGUUUUUUAUCUAUAAGAAA